rnacentral:rRNA from 1 species
GCUGGGUGUGUAAGCGUAGCGAUACGUUGAGCUAACCAGUACUAAUGAACCGUGAGGCUUAACCUGACAACACCGAAGGUGUUU